UACGUAGGGGCAAGCGUUAUCCGGAAUUAUUGGGCGUAAAGAGUGCGUAGGUGGUUUUGUAAGCGAGAGGUGAAAGGCUACAGCUCAACUGUAGUAAGCCUUUCGAACUGCAAAACUUGAGUGCAGGAGAGGAAAGUGGAAUUCCUAGUGUAGCGGUGAAAUGCGUAGAUAUUAGGAGGAACACCAGUGGCGAAGGCGACUUUCUGGACUGUUACUGACACUGAGGCACGAAAGCGUGGGGAGCGAACAGG
rnacentral:rRNA from 1 species